AAAAAGAGGGAUUUGGCUUCUGAAAGUCUUGGUCACUGCACAAAUAUGUCUCUAAUUUAAGGACGUGAUGGCAAAAAAAUCAAAGUUGACAAUUAUAGAACCUGUUAUCCCUAUCCAUUAUCUCAUGAAAGAAAGAAGUACAGACAGUCACAUUAUAAUUUCCAGCUUGGGGCAAACAUAUGCAUUGCUAUAUGAAUCUGUUGAAUAAUUUAGCAAAUACGGAAGGCUGCACAAGGAUUUGAAAAGCAGAAUUUAACACAAAGGAGGAAAUCUGAACAAUGGAUUGCUAAAGAUCAGAUUUGCUUAAUAGAAGAUCGAAGCAAAUCAAAUCACCAAAAUUCCAAUGCCCCUUCUUGUCAUAAUCACAAACAUCAUUUUUACCAUACCCAACCAGGCUCUUGCAAAUGUGGAGGAAAACUCCCAGCUCAGAACAUGUUAAUGAGGCAUGCAUGCUCCAUGGCUUCAGAGAUCCAGACUUCAGAAAGCCUAGCCUGGAUAAAUGCAAGGAAUGCGAAUAAUUCUGCUUUGGAAUCCAUGAAGUGCUUAGUAGAAUUUAGGGACAUUUUCUUUUGUGUUUUCACCAUUUUGCUUUGGAGCUGUGAAAUACACAUUUUUCCCACUUUUUUUUUUUGGUAUUACAUGUGGGAAGUUUACAGACAUGUAAUAAUAGUAAAAACACCUAGUGCCCAUCACUGAGGCUUAGAGAUAGAACAUUACAGAGAUAUCUCAGAAGUCUUGGAUACCCAUCAGUGAAGGCAUCCUCUCCUGGUGCCAAAGACAACUAGCCUUCAGAAUUUGUUGUCAGGGUCAGAAUUUUUUAACAGCCCCACCAGCUGUGUGAGAAUACUUUUCUUCAUAAUUGUAUCACUUAACCCUGCAUUCCCAAACAACAUAUUGUUAA